AUUUUACAGUUUGAGGGUGACGACAAAUUAGGUGGUCCGAUGCAGAACUGAAACGUCCAACACGAGACUUCAAGGACAAUUGCCUGGGAAUGCUGAGAUCCAGACCACCUGUAUCUGUUUGGCCUUGAUCAUAAAAGGCAAUGAAUGGUGUCCUGGUUCAAUGCGAUGAUCAUCACUCCAGCUGAGAUCGUUUAGAGAAAGGCUGAGGGUAGCUACA